UACGGAGGGGGCUAGCGUUGUUCGGAAUUACUGGGCGUAAAGCGCACGUAGGCGGACCAUCAAGUUGGGGGUGAAAUCCCGGGGCUCAACCCCGGAACUGCCUCCAAAACUGCUGGUCUGGAGGUCGAGAGAGGUGAGUGGAAUUCCGAGUGUAGAGGUGAAAUUCGUAGAUAUUCGGAGGGACACCAGUGGCGAAGGCGGCUCACUGGCUCGAUACUGACGCUGAGGUGCGAAAGCGUGGGGAGCAAACAGG
rnacentral:rRNA from 1 species